ensembl:lncRNA
UAUUAAAAAAACUCUGUAUUCAGUAAUAUUCACACCAAAGAAUAUGUAUAGAUAUAUCCAUUAAAAUUAUGAACAUUUCUAAAUAUAUUUUAUGUAUCAUACAUAUAUUUAUAUGUAUAAUUACAUAUCCACAGAAGUAGUCUUGCUGUGCUAAAGUCAGCAGUAAAAGCAAAAACAGGUUUCACAAUAGGACACCCAUAUAUGCAUAUGUACUGGCUGUUUGGUUUGUGAAUUUAUUUACAACUUAACUAUAUCAUAAUAAAUGCUUACUGUUCUAUUGUACAAACGUAAUAGUAAAGGUUUAGGUUUGUUUUUAAAUACAAAGACUGCAAAUGAAUACAUGAAAAAAAUUACACACCAUGUACAGUAUUUAUAAUUUAUAAAUGCAAAGUUAAGACCUCUUUAAAUUAUUGCACUUGCAUAUUUUUUGUUUUUCUUUUUUACAAAGAUAGUUUAUAUGUAUCAUAUAUAUAUAUAUGUGUGUGUAAAUAUAUAUAUAUAUAAAACAAAUCUUUCAGCUCACUAAAUGUAUUAAAGUUGAAUGUUACCUUGAAGUUCUUUCUUCUCCACAUAACAGCCCAACCUGAAUUUUGAAUAUAUAUGAAUCUACUCUACAAAUCAGUUUGACCUACCCUAGAAAGCAGUCCAUAGUUUUAGGUAUUUUGACAGAGUAUACACCCGUAUUACAAUCGAGCACAGUUUUUGGUCAGAAAGCAAAAUAAGAGUUGUGGUGUGCCUUUGCUGGAUUGGGAUAUAUAACCUAAAGUUUGAAUGCGAACUUCCUUGUAGUAGUGUGCAGAAAGUCUCUUCUGUGUUUAGAAUGAAGAAACAAUUUGUACCACUUCACAGAACUGUUCCUGUGUCACAGUGUUAGAGGCAAAUGCAUUAUUUCAAGAGGGUCAUAAUUGUUUUGAGCAUCAGACAAUCUCUAUUUUAACGUGAACGUUGCUGUCUGCAGUCCCUACAAUUUUAACACUACAUGGCCUAAAUGUAGUCAUAGCAAACACAUCACACUGUUCCAAGUUUAAACACAUGAAACAAGACUGUGCCACAUAAAAAGAUGAGUGCCACACUGCAUGUCCCCUCCAGUGUAAACACACUUUAGCAUAUAGUCCCGCUAAAAACACUACUGCAUUUCUCUAAUGGAAUAAUUAAAUUACCUACUAUGUUACAAAAUUUGUGGACUAAAUAUAACAAUGGUGCUUCUGUCAUUUCUCUAAUAAAAUAUGCAACAUCUCACAUGAAAAUCACGCUAUGUCAACUAUUUUCCUCACUUAGUGCAUACCUUUCAGGCAUCGUUUCACAACAGAUUAGAAAUGCUCAGAUAUGGCUUCAAUUAGUCCUUUUACUUGACCUGGACUUAGAAGCAGAAAACCAAUCUGAACCAUUAAGAAAAAUAAUGCUGUUCUGGGAGUACAGAGACUAACACUUCUUGGGAAAAAAACCAAAAAAAAAAAAAA